CUGAUUUCCUCGUGUCAGCAUUGUUCCCACAUCAUCAUAAUUAAUGUUGUUCCAGGUUCAACAUUGCAAGUGACCAAUCACCUUCUUGUGACGUCAUUCCUUUGCGACUUCGAAAUACCCGCCUUCGAGUAUUUCGAAAUACAAGUGAAGAAGCGAAAAACCGCCGCCUGUCCGCCGAAUUUGAAGUCAAUUUAGGAUACUUUCCUUUAAUAAACGAAAUGGACGACAUAAUUAGAAGAAGUGUUCUGAAUGACGAAAAAAAAAAGAACUGGAAAAGACACACAACUUUGUGUGCAUGUGUCACAAUGCCAGGAGGACCCAUUCAGUGUUGUGUUAGAAAAAUUGAACUCAUUAACCCUUCAUGGACAUUAUAAAUGUUUAAAUGUUGCCUCAGGUAAAGACAGGAAAAGAGACUAUUACAAAUUCAACUGCAUCAGAGCUGG